UGUGACCAGUAACCAGAAAGGAUUUUUUUCCUUUUACACGCUGUCGACUGUCGACACCUACAGUAAUGCUCCAAGCAUUACCUCUCUCAGCGUUCAAGUCAAAGGAAUCGUCUGCUUGUGGAUUAUUCUAUCCUCGACAGCUCAGCUGACCAAUGAUUUCAACAGAUGUGAAGUUUGGAGCAUCAACCAACACGAUGAGUCUUGAUCUGGACAUUCACCAAUGGAACAUUUGGAUUAUCAGUGGAAUAUUAUGCACAUCAUCUGGGAGUGUAAUGAUUUAAAGACUUUUUUUAUCUGUCACCGCAAGGACCUCAAGGCUGCACCAGGUUAGUACACGCAAGCUUCAGAACAUGCCGUUUUUCCUAACAUAUGCUAACUUUAAGUUACUUUGCUCAAAGGAUGUCUUGUUCGGUAGAGUUUGCUUAGUGGUAUAAAAACUACUUUUGUAACAACAGCAUGAAAAAAAAAAACACCAAAAAGUAUCAGACAUUUCUGAGAUUUUCUUUAAUCUUUCCUUUUAGUCAAAACAACUGUAACAGGUGCAAGCUGUGCUUCAUUCAAGUCCAUUGGGCAGUCAGGGAUGAGUCAAGAUCACUUCUGACAAACAUAAGGUCGACCACUUAACAUGCUUUAUUUCAGCAUUCAAAAUAAUUAAAAACAUCUCAAAUUAUUAUACAUAUACAAAAUAGGUACAGAUCCUCUUGUUUUAACCCCCCUAUGGUGUGCUUCUCUCAUCAUUUUAGGACUUUUCUAUUUGAUUGCCUUUUUUAUGCUUUAAAAAAAACCCUGGGUGAAAACAAAAAUCCUGAUUACAGAAGUAUGGGAAAGAAGUGGGGAUAUAGCUGGAAGCAACUGGACAACAUUGGGGGGAUGUUUUGUAAAGAAACCAAAAGACAACAACCAAAAAGUGUCAAAAGGUGUUUGGAAAAUAAAAACAGACUCCACCUGCUUAUUCUACACUUGAAAAGACUGCGUGCAUCACAGCUACAGUACUGCUUCUUAACAAAAGCUCUGCUGUCUGGCUCUUAGCUUACACUUCAGAAAGAGAGGCAUCCGUUACAACUGGGCAGCAAGAUAUUAGGAUUUCUGUAGCACCAAAGGCCCUGUGAGCAAAAGCAACGAACAAUACAUUACUUUUAGAAAAAAGAAAACUCUAGAAUUUCUUGCUGACAGGACCUCAUGAGGAAAUAGCACGUUUACAGCUGUCACUUGAUCCUUUAACCAUACUUCUGCCAAGUAAAAUCCUGACCUGGUGUUGGUCAACACUGGGAAUUGCAGGUUUCUUUUUUGAGGUAGCCAUGAGACAUCAAAACAAAGUUGAACCCCUGUCUCUACUAGAUGUACUUUGUGUGACUCUUGAGAGGAACGUUGGCAUUCGGCACCUGGUGGUCCUAAUGGGUAUAACACAAAGACACUUAAAUGUCAUUUUACAGAUUUAUUUAACACCUGAACAUGGUACAAAGCAUUUGGUUUUGCUCUUUCAUUGUCCUUCCUCAGUGGUUGAAAAAAAAGUCACUUGCAUCAGUGAUGUUUCUUUAAACUCCAGGGGGAUUUUACACUUUAUAAGUAUAAUAUAUUAUUUUCUUGUUGCCAGUGAAACAAAUGAGUCUUCUAAAGUAUCCUCAGUGUGGGUGGUGACAAAAUA